UGUUAAGAAGUGAUUAGGUUUUGAGAGCCUUCUCCCUUAUGAAUAGGAGUAAAGCCAUUAUAAAAGAGGCUUCGAGAGCCUCCUGCCAUGUGAAGAUUCCGUGUGUCUUCUUUCUGGAGGACACAGCAGCAGGGCUCCAUCUUGGAAGCAGAGAGGAGUCCCCAGCAGAAAACCAAACCUGCUGGUGCCUAGAUCUUCAGUUUCACAACCUCCAGACUGGAGGAUGACUGACUGGUACUGAUUUUUGCAAGAGACUGAGUAGAUAAUUCAGCGUGAGACUGCGAGGGUGACUCUGAUAGUAUUUUACAAGAUUUCUUGAAAUAUCUAACAGGUGAGUCUUGAGCACGAGACUGUUUCUUUUCUCAACAAAAGAGCACAAGGCAAGCCCAUUCCUAAGAACUGCUCUCUGGUUCUGUAAACUUCUCUGCCUUUGAAAGUCUGG
rnacentral:lncRNA from 1 species